AUUGAACGCUGGCGGCAUGCCUUACACAUGCAAGUCGAACGGCAGCACGGGCUUCGGCCUGGUGGCGAGUGGCGAACGGGUGAGUAAUACAUCGGAACGUGCCCUGUCGUGGGGGAUAACUAGUCGAAAGAUUAGCUAAUACCGCAUACGACCUGAGGGUGAAAGCGGGGGACCGGUAACGGCCUCGCGCGACAGGAGCGGCCGAUGUCUGAUUAGCUAGUUGGUGGGGUAAAAGCCUAC
rnacentral:rRNA from 1 species